rnacentral:rRNA from 1 species
AUUGAACGCUGGCGGCAGGCUUAACACAUGCAAGUCGAGCGAGCGGCGGACGGGUUAGUCAUGUCUGUGAAACUGCCUGAUUGAGUGGGAUAACUUCUGGAACAGGUAGCUAAUCCCGCAUACCUUCCGAUUUCCCCAGAUGGGAUUAGCUAGUCGGUGGGGUAAUGGCUCACCUAGGCGACGAUCCCUAGCUGUUCGGAGAGGAUGCACAUCCACACUGGAACUGAGACACGGUCCAGACUCCUACGGGAGGCAGCAGUGGGGAAUAUUGCACAAGGGGCGCAAGCCGGAUGCAGCCAUGCCGCGUGUGGGAAGAAGGCCUUCGGGUUGUAAAGCACUUUCAGCGAGGAGGCGUUACUCGCAGAAGAAGCACCGGCUAACUCCGUGCCAGCCGCCGCGGUAAUAC